CUUUCCGAGUUGUAAUCUAGAGAAGUGUUAUCCAUUCUGGACCGUGUACAAGUCUCCUG
rnacentral:rRNA from 1 species